rnacentral:rRNA from 1 species
CCAGACUCCUACGGGAGGCAGCAGUGAGGGAUAUUGGUCAAUGGGGGAAACCCUGAACCAGCAACGCCGCGUGAGGGAAGACGGUUUUCGGAUUGUAAACCUCUGUCCUCUGUGAAGAUAAUGACGGUAGCAGAGGAGGAAGCUCCGGCUAACUACGUGCCAGCAGCCGCGGUAAUACGUAGGGAGCGAGUGUUGUCCGGAAUUACUGGGUGUAAAGGGAGCGUAGACGGCAAUGCAAGUCCGGAGUGGAAUGCGGCAGCUCAACUGCCGAACUGCUCUGGAAACUGUAUGGCUUGAGUGCAGGAGGGGUAAGCGGAAUUCCUGGUGUAGCGGUGAGAUGCGUAGAUAUCAGGAGGAACACCGGUGGCGAAGGCGGCUUACUGGACUGUAACUGACGUUGAGGCUCGAAAGCGUGGGGAGCAAACAGGAUUAGAUACCCGCGUA